rnacentral:tRNA from 1 species
GGACAGGUGGCAGAGUGGUCGAUUGCAUCCCAUUGAAAAUGGGACGGGCCUUCUGGGUCUCGCGGGUUCGAAUCCCGCCCUGAUUU